UGUUGGUAGACCUUUUCCUCAGGCUCUUCUCCACGCUUGUUCCUGUAGUUCUUUCAGACAAAAAAAAAUUAUGGGUUAGUUUUUGAGUGUGGAAUGGCAGACUCAUCCCUUUCUUGAUACCCUGUCUUUCUGCAAAAGGAGAGACAUUUCCACAGAUGUCCUGACUCUUAAGUCCUUCUCAACUACUUCUGAGGAAUUUCCAGAGGCACAGAUUCAGGAACUGUGAUUUUGAUGUGCCCAUUACAAUUGGUAAUCUGAGGAUGACUGGAUCAUAUUGAAUUGUGGUUCUCCAAUUGGUU